rnacentral:lncRNA from 10 species
GAGACAGCCAGGUGGGAGGGGGUCCCUGGAGAAUCUCCAACCAGCCUGCGCACUGGGAAUGCGCACUGGAGUGAAAAUACAGAAGUUGGUGCCCUUUGCAGCAGCCAGGAGUCCGACUCCUCCUCUUCCUGUGUGGAACCUGGAAUUCAAACGGCUGGGUAGGAAGCACGCUAGCAGGGGCCUCUGGCCUUGCUGAGGGUCCCUGUUUCCCCUUUUCCUUCCUUUUCACCCAACAAAACCCUGCUUUACUCACCCUUCAAACCAUCUAUGAGCCUAAAUUGUCGUGGUCGUGGAAUGGACAAGGACCCAGUCUUUAGCUGAACUAAGGGAAAGUCCUGCUUUUUGGCGCGCAACAGGGGAGCUCAAGAAACAGGCCUCACUCACGGCAUAUGGAACUAACCACGCCCCUAACUAAGAAGGCACACCUUAGUUGCAGUUAGCACACAAUUAAAGCAACUCUCCAAGUUUUACCUUAAAGUUCAAAAUUGCUAGGAGUUGAAACUACUAGAAAUAUAUUUACAUGCAAGAGUCAAAGAAACUUUGAACUAUUUAUGGCCUUUAAUAAUUAAGUAAGGUAUACUCCUGUGAUCAAGACUUGGAGCAUAUUUGUUUCUCUCUGCCUGGUUCCUCUAGAAAUUGGAAACUAUCAGAACAGAGACCAACUCCGUUUCCCGAUCCCUUUGCAAUCUGCAUUGAACCAUGAGUCAAGUUCUUGAUAAAGGAGUGAAAAUGUGUGUGACACAUGUGCUCAUGGAUUAUUGUCCGAAGCAAGACAUGUGACCAAGCCUAACAUCAACUGGGUGAAGAGCUAUAUGUUCCUUUCUCAAGAGGCACUACAAGUGACAUGCCACUGGGCAGAUGGAGUCUCGCUCUGUCACCCAGGCUAGAGUGCAGUACCGCAAUCUCGGCUCGCUGCAAGCUCUGACUCCCAGGUUCACACCAUUCUCCUGCCUCAGCCUCCCAAGUAGCUGGCACUACAGGCGCCCACCACCAUGCCUGGCUAAUUUUUUAUAUUUUUAGUAGAGAAGGGGUUUCGCCGUGUUAGCCAGAAUGGUCUUGAUCUCCUGACCUCAUGAUCUGCCCACCUCGGCCUCCCAAAGUGCUGGGAUUACAGGCGUGAGCCACCGCGACUGGCCUAACAUAUUUUUAAAACCUGCAGAAUGUUUGUAUUACUUUUGUCAUAGUACAUAACAUUUAAAUGGAUUUCUUGUUUGUGUAUGUGUGUAUAUUCAUUCACAACACUGAUAGUUUUUCUGAAUAUUUCCUUUGGAUUUUAUUCUUUUCUCAUUCAACUAAAUAAGAACCUGCACCAUCUUUUUCUAGUGUAAAAAUUACAAUAUCUGAAGUGAAACUACUAGAAUAAAUCUUGUGACAAUUCUUAAGGAUUAUCUUUUAGUUGGUAUGGUUUCCAAAAAAGAUUGUACUAAGUUUUACUCCCAGUGGAAAUAUUUAAAGGCAAUACUUCCAUUUCUUUUUUACAGAAUAGAAUCCAAUUAUUCUUUUUCAUCCCAUUGUUGUAUACAGACUUUAUUUCAUUUACUUGUAGAUCAAAGGUUUUUUGGUUUCCUAUCUUUUGGACACUGUUUUGGGUACUAGAGAGAGCAUGAGUAGCUAAGUUUCUGAAAUUUACAGUGAAUGGAAAAAGAUAGGCAUAAAUGAAACAAUCACAAAAAUAAAUGUAACAGCUACAGUUACAGUUGUAAAACUGUGGUCAGUGCUAUGGAGGAGUGUACAAGGUGAUAUGAGAGAUCAUAAUAGGGAAGUUAAAUCUCUGGUUCAUGUAAAACUGCCAUGGACACACUCUCAGUGAACUUAGAGCUAAAAGAGGAGUAAUAGCCAUUAGACACAAAAAAGCAGAUAGAAAAUGUUCUGGGAAGAAUAAUGUCUAUAAAGGAUCUGGGGUAGGAGAGAGCAUUGUUCUUUGGUGAUAUGAGAUUGGAGGGAUAGGUGAAUAUAAAACAUAAGCAUAAAAACUAGAUAGUAUUUAAAUCCUUUCCUUGGAUCUUAAUGAGAAGCACUAAAGAGAUUUAAAUAGAGAAUGACAACAUGUAAUUUGGCUUUUAAACAAAGUUAUGUUUUUUAAUGCAGAAAAUAAAUUGGAAUGAAGCCCAUGUGAAUGCAUGGAGACAAGGUGAAAAGGUAGAUGAGAAAAAAGUUGGAAAUAUUUGCAGGUACAUUUGACAGGACCAGGAGAUGUCUUGGGCAUUCAUGAUGAUGGAAGAGUGGUCAAUAAUGACUCUAUUUUCUAGCUUGUAUCAUGAGAUGAAUGGAGACCCGUAGAAGAAUAAGUUUUGUGAGUGACUGGGUCAUGUAAUAUAUUUUGGAUUUGUUAAAUGUGAACUACUUUUAAGAAACUGUGGGGAAAAACUUCGUUUUGUUUACAUCCAUGAAUCAUUUGAAGCACGAAAAAUAAUUCUCAGCUGAAGAUACAAAUAUGAGGGCCCUGGGUGUAUAACUGAAGGCACGAGUAUAAAUGGGAUUAUUUAGGGAGGGCUUAAAAGUGGAUAGAGAGUAAAUUCACAGACUAUAGGUACAAAAUAAUCACCAAUGACAAUAUAUUAUGCAGCUUAAGACCAAUUGUAUGUAUUUUCCUGACAAUGUCUUUUAGAGCCUGUGACUAGUUUUCUCCUGAAGAUGUGGUGAUCUUCUUAUCAAUUUUUAAGAGUACUUAAAUGUUUUAACAAUUAUAUUUAACUCAAAAUUAGUUUCCA